rnacentral:rRNA from 1 species
UACGGGGGGGGCAAGCGUUGUUCGGAAUUACUGGGCGUAAAGGGUUUGUAGGUGGCCCGCUAAGUCACACGUGAAAUCCCUCAGCUUAACUGGGGAACUGCGUGUGAGACUGGCAGGCUCGAGGGCAGGAGAGGAACGCGGAAUUCCAGGUGUAGCGGUGAAAUGCGUAGAUAUCAGGAAGAACACCGGUGGCGAAGGCGGAUCUCUGGGCCUUACCUGACGCUGAGGCGCGAAAGCUAGGGGAGCGAACAGG